CUGAGAGGGCGCACGGACACACUGGAACUGAAACACGGUCCAGACUCCUACGGGAGGCAGCAGUGGGGAAUUUUGCACAAUGGGGGAAACCCUGAUGCAGCAACGCCGCGUGGAGGAUGAAGUCCCUUGGGAUGUAAACUCCUUUCGACCGGGACGAUAAUGACGGUACCGGUGGAAGAAUCCCCGGCUAACUCUGUGCCAGCAGCCGCGGUAAUACAGAGGGGGCAAGCGUUGUUCGGAAUUAUUGGGCGUAAAGGGUGCGUAGGCGGUGCGGUAAGUCUUUUGUGAAAUCUCCGAGCUCAACUCGGAGUCUGCAGGAGAAACUGCCGUGCUUGAGUAUGGGAGAGG
rnacentral:rRNA from 1 species